rnacentral:rRNA from 1 species
GACGAACGCUGGCGGCGUGCUUAACACAUGCCAGUCGAACGGUGAAGGGAUCAGCUUGCUGGUUCUGGAUGAGUGGCGAACGGGUGAGUAACACGUGAGUAACCUGCCCCCUUCUUCUGGAUAACCGCAUGAAAGUGUGGCUAAUACGGGAUAUUCUGGGUCUGUCGCAUGAUGGGUCUGGGAAAGAUAUUGUUUCGGUGGGGGAUGGGCUCGCGGCCUAUCAGCUUGUUGGUGGGGUGAUGGCCUACCAAGGCGGUGACGGGUAGCCGGCCUGAGAGGGUGGACGGUCACACUGGGACUGAGACACGGCCCAGACUCCUACGGGAGGCAGCAGUGGGGAAUAUUGCACAAUGGGCGCAAGCCUGAUGCAGCGACGCCGCGUGAGGGAUGGAGGCCUUCGGGGUGUAAACCUCUUUCGCCAGUGAAGCAGGCCUGCUCCGUGUGGGUGGGUUGACGGUAGCUGGAGAAGAAGCGCCGGCUAACUACGUG